UUCAAAGUUCAAUUACGGGUCCCUUCCUGUUUUUCCUAUACAAUAAUAUAAUUAAGUGACCAUUAAUGCAAGGGUUGAGCACCUUGGCCGCUCUGAUAUAUAAUAGCGUACAUCGUACAUGUAUGUACAUCCAUCUGUAUAGCGCACCGUCUGUCUGUCGUCGCUGACGCCGAUGAAAUACUAGUGCUGGAAAACGGCACUAUAACAGAUAGAGGGAAGCACGAUGAUCUUAUAGCCAGGAGCGGAUCGCUCUACGCAAGGCUGUGGGAGAAACAACACAGAGAAAUCAAAUGAGCUACGGGUAUGGAAGAGUAUAGAACUAUAUACAAUAUAGCGUUGUGCUUACUAAAGUACCUAUAGUUUGGCAAGCCAUUUCCGUCAGUUAGAAAAGGCGGCAAAUUUAAAAAUAGUUGGCACGAAGAGUUGUACUUGUCCUAUCAUAUAAUCUUUGAAUUGCGCGCCUUUUUCUACUGGGUAGUGGGUUUGCCAGAGUAUACUAUACAGUCAAAUGUAUUCCAAUAUUUCCAAUCAUAGACACAAGGUAGUAUUCCUUUGGCUAUGGUUUUGACGAAUGCAUACGAUUUUUUUUAACGAGGUUAUCCUUUGUAAAUAUUAUUGUAGUUUAAAAAGGAUUACAAUAGCUGAAUGAAGAAAUAUCCUGUUUAUGUAUAUAUUAUUAUUAUUCGACUUAUAUCGACCGGGAUGAUUACCUUUUGUAUUGUUUUCGAAACUAUUCAAAACUGUUAUUAUUAUUAUUAUUAUUUUAAUAUACCUCUACAACGUAUGACGAUGGUCUAGUCUUGAUAUGGUCAAGGUCUUUAAUUGCCAGCCAUUUGUGGUUUUCCAUAAGAACAGAGAAGGACCUUUUUGUCAUAAUUUCUGUUGGAAAGGACCUUAUUGCAUAUGACCUUAAAGCAUAAGGACCCUUCUUGUAAUGGAAAGCCACAUUUAUAGUUGAAGCUAAAUAAUUGUUCAAUAUUACCGCCAUGUGAUGUGUAACGAAAAGUGAACCCUCGGUGUCUUAUCAAUUAAAUCGUUCUCUCAAAUUACCAAUAAGAAGACACAACUAUUUUUUUAGUUCACUAUUAUAAAUGAUUUAAUGACAUUUUUUAACGAUAGCAGCGCCAUCUGCAUCUUUGCACGUUUAUCCUUACUAUGAUUUAAUAAUUGUAAUUAAGAACUUACGAGUAUGUGCCUGGUGCACACAAUAUGUUAAACAUUUUACCGAUGUGUAAUUUCCACAGAUGUGUUGUUUCCAAUGUAUAUUUUGUAAAUGUCCGGUUUCAUAGACAACCGAUUUAAAAAUUCAAAACUGUGUAAUUCGACCGUGUGCGUUUCAACCAAAUAAAAUCACUUUAUUUGUUUCCUUACUCAGCGUGCAUUGGUUCUUAAAAACACAUCCCUCGCAACGCAUACUCGCACACCUCUGGUCGAAACGCGCCCUAAUACUAUAGUUUGUCAAAGGACUGUCUCAUUUCAAACGUAGACAGAGAGAAUCAUACUAUCUUAGUCUUACACUAGUACUAGCAGCCAAAAGAAAAGGAUGAGUAUAGUUUUUUUGUUCUUAUUUACUGACGAUUUGGUUUGACCAACUAUAGUACAAAUUUAUAUACCUUCAAUAAAAUCAAAAUGAUCAUAGAGUUGCUUUUGUUUUUUUUUAUUCGAUUUCAAAAAGAAACAGUCAACAGGGAAUAUUACGCAAAAGUGCGUAGAGGGCGUCACUAGCUCAAU